UUCUAUAGAACUGUUUAAAAUAUGUAUUCAAUUUGUUGGGAUGUGCGAAAUUGAGAAAAUAUUACAGUGAAUUUGUGGAGGCAAUGAGAUGGGAGGAAUAAAGCUUGAGCUUAGUUAGAUAAUAGUGGAGAUAUGUGAAAUACUAAGGGAACUAAUAGAGAUAUUCACAAACAGAUUUCUUGAUAAAUACCUAAAUAAAGCUUGUAUAAAGCUUACAAGAUCGAGAUUCACAAAAUAAGUAUUGUUGCUGGGAGCAAAGGUCUCAGUAAUGCCUUUUCAGCGUAAAGCUAAAUGCUUGAAUCUAUUUUAUGUUAACCCCCUUAUUGAGGGUUACUGAAAUAAGUAAAUUAAAAAAGGGAAAUUAUUUUCUUACUCCAUGGUUUAAUUCCUCUUUAAUUAAACUCUUUUUGUAUUCACAACGCGCCUAGCUAAUACUUUACCCGAAACUUUACCCAAAACUUUAACCGAUUUUUUAUAAACAAACUUAUCUAAUAAACCUAUUUUCUCGAAGUUUGGCAUAUAUUUUCCCUAAAUAUAUUUUUUUGGCAGCAAGCAACAAAAAAAAAUUACCUUUUAUUCUUAGAAAAUUCAGAAAAGACAAAAAAUUAUUGAGUUUUUUUAUGUAGCUGCCAUUUUGGGAAAAUUUUGUUUCUCAGUUAACCUAACCGCCAUUAUGACAUUUGCAUUGAUUGGUAAUCUACCCAUUUUCAUUCUGGGAGUUCAGAACAGUAGAAUUUUAGACAAGAUGGCAACGCGAUCGGUCCCUCUCGGCCUCAAUUUGUCUGAUAUUUUUCCAUAUUAUUAAAUAACUGACAAAAGUUAGUGUUAUAACAAAUAAUUUUAAAUUUUCAAUAAUUUUUUAAUUUUUUUUUAAUAAUAAAUAAAAAAUGAAUAAAUAUUUUUAAGUUUUUAAUAAUUUUUUAUUUUUUUUUGUUUGGCAUAUGAACCACCCUUUUUCUAUGGUUACAAAUAUGUAAAUAAUAAUAACGUUCAGAAUAGAAGCUUGAGCAGGCACACUGCAAUUAUAAAUCUAAUAACAAGCGCUAACAUAUUCUUCGAAAUACGACUUAAGUUGACAGAUUUUCUCACAUAAAAUAGCGUGCAUAGUACCGAUUUCCAAUACCUCCGCUACAAAUGGACUAUAAGGGUAUUCAGUGAGAAUUGCAAUAAAAUUGAGCGCAAUUAUGAGCCACCUUUGUAAUCUUGUUUUGUUUAUAUAUUGUCGACAAAUAGCCGACAGCUUCAGUUUCACUGCAUUUCACCAAGAGUAAGGAAGUAUUUUUUCUUAAUAAAAUGUACAAUAAAUUUUUUUCAUUAUUGUGUAUACUGUUCGCAGUACAGUUUACAGCAUUUGCGCACCCAUUGGAAAAUGGCAAAGAUACACAAGAAGUAGCCGAUAUUAAGGCGCCAAAAGAGCAAAGCAUAAUAUCAGAUGCACCAGGUGUGCAGGAGUUCAAAAAAGACAUAGUGAGUCACUUAAUAGCAAGCCUUGGGGAUGAGGAAGGAGAUGAAACUGGUGUCCUAAGUGCGCAAUUGUCUUCAGCUGAGGUAGAUCUACCCUGCUUGCCAAGUGAUGCUGUUAGAAUACAUGUGCUAAGAAGCAAUUUCCGGUUGCCAGAGCGCCUUUUCCAUGCACCAAAGAGAUGUUCGGAGGAAGAGAAAUAAAUGAACUCUUUAAGAAUUUA